rnacentral:rRNA from 1 species
AACGAACGCUGGCGGCAUGCCUAACACAUGCAAGUCGAACGAGACCUUCGUGUCUAGUGGCGCACGGGUGCGUAACGCGUGGGAACCUGCCCUUAGGUUCGGAAUAAUUCCCCGAAAGGGGUGCUAAUACCGGAUAAUGUCUUCGGACCAAAGAUUUAUCGCCCUUGGAUGGGCCGGCGUUGGUUUAGCUGGUUGGUAGGGUAAAAGCCUAUCAAGGCGACGAUCCAUAGCUGGUCUGAGAGGAUGAUCAGCCACACUGGGACUGAGACACGGCCCAGAAUCCUACGGGAGGCAGCAGUGGGGAAUAUUGGACAAUGGGGGAAGGCAUGAACCAGCUAUGCUGGGUGAGUGAUGAAGGUGUUAGGGUAGUAAAGCUGUUUUACCCGGGAUGGUAAUGACAGUACCGGGAGAAUAAGCACCGGCUAACUCCGUG